rnacentral:rRNA from 1 species
CGCGUAGGCGGGAUGGCAAGUCGGUCGUGAAAUACCUCGGCUCAACUGAGGAGCGUCGAUCGAAACUGCCGUUCUUGAGGGUUGCAGAGGAGACUGGAAUUCCCGGUGUAGCGGUGAAAUGUGUAGAGAUCGGGAGGAACACCGGUGGCGAAGGCGGGUCUCUGGGCAACUCCUGACGCUGAGGCGCGAAAGCGUGGGGAGCAAACG